rnacentral:rRNA from 1 species
UAUCUCUGUAGAGUCUGCAUAUCAAUAAGCGGAGGAAAAGAAACUAACUAGGAUUCCCUCAGUAACGGCGAGUGAAGCGGGAAGAGCUCAAAUUUGAAAUCUUCAAGGUUUUACCUUGACGAAUUGUAGUUUAAAGAAGUGUUUUCUGUUGGAGUUUCGGUAAAAGUUCUUUGGAAUAGGACAUCAUAGAGGGUGAGAAUCCCGUAUUUGACCAUUAUUUCAGCUUUGUGAUACACUUUCAAAGAGUCGGAUUGUUUGGGAAUGCAGUCCAAAAUGGGUGGUAAAUUUCAUCUAAAGCUAAAUAUUGGCGAGAGACCGAUAGCGAACAAGUACCGUGAGGGAGAAGAUGAAAAGAACUUUGAAAAGAGAGUUAAACAGUACGUGAAAUUGUCAAAAGGGAAGCGUUUGACACCAGUGUUGUUUCUACGAAAAUCAAUUUAUGAUGGCUUGAUGCUAAGCUUUAAGACUUUAUCCGCUUGUUGUUUAGUUUUCUUGUCUUUGUGAAUGCACUUUUCGUGGAACAAGUCAACAUCAAUUUCUUUUGCUGUAAAAGGGUAAGAGGAAGGUGGCUUCGGCUUCGGUUGAAGUGUUUAUAGCCUUUUAUCUCUGCAGUCGGAGAGAUUGAGGUCUGCAGCGUAGACUCUUCGGGGUUAGAUACGUCGGUGCUAAGCUAUAGCUUUUCAUAGACAACUUGUUGACUAUGUUUAGUCAUGUGGCUUACCCGCUGGCGCUAUUUUACCUACGCUUAGGAUGUUGAGUCAUCACACAUCUCU